AUACGUAGGUGACAAGCGUUAUCCGGAUUUACUGGGCGUAAAGGGCGUGUAGGCGGUCUUGCAAGUCAGAAGUGAAAUUCCUGAGCUCAACUCGGGCGCUGCUUCUGAAACUGCAGGACUUGAGUGCUGGAGGGGAUAGCGGAAUUCCUAGUGGAGCGGUGAAAUGCGUAGAGAUCGGGAGGAACACCAGUGGCGAAGGCGGGUAACUGGACUGCAACUGACGCUGAGGCGCGAAAGUGUGGGGAGCAAACAGGAUUAGAUACCCUGGUAGUCCACACCGUAAACGAUGAAUGCUAGGUGUAAGAGGUAUCGACCCCUUUUGUGCCGGAGUUAACACAAUAAGCAUUCCGCCUGGGGAGUACGGCCGCAAGGUUGAAACUCAAAUGAAUUGACGGGG
rnacentral:rRNA from 1 species